ensembl:lncRNA
CCAUGAUGUUGUCAUAGCAACAAAGCACGGUAGCGCUAAUGCUAGGAUGGCUCCUUCAGGAGCAGUACUGCUGGCUCAGAUUACAGGAGCACAAAUCAGCAAUUUCUGCUUUUCUCAGAGACCAAACAGGCCAAACAGUGCAGUUCGUGGUCGGACAACGGCAGUUUAUGGUGCCGUUCAGACUGAAAAGGCACAGGAGGUGGAUCGCGCUCAGAUCCAGCAGCUGCGGGAGCGAUGUGAGCGGCAGGCCCUGCAGCUACAGACUCUGCAGGCUCAGUUAAAGAAAGCCUCGCUGUGCCUGGAUGUUUUCAGCAUCACUACCCAGC